rnacentral:rRNA from 1 species
AGCGGCAGGCCUAAUACAUGCAAGUCGAACGAGAUUCUUUUCUUCGGAGAAGAUGAAAGUGGCGCACGGGUGCGUAACGCGUAUGCAACCUACCCUUAACAGGGGGAUAGCCCGAAGAAAUUCGGAUUAAUACCCCAUAGUACUACAAGAUGGCAUCUGAAAGUAGUUAAAGAUUUAUCGGUUAAGGAUGGGCAUGCGUGACAUUAGAUAGUUGGUGAGGUAACGGCUCACCAAGUCAACGAUGUCUAGGGGUUCUGAGAGGAUGAUCCCCCACACUGGUACUGAGAUACGGACCAGACUCCUACGGGAGGCAGCAGUAGGGAAUAUUGGUCAAUGGGCGAGAGCCUGAACCAGCCAUGCCGCGUGCAGGAAGACAGCUUUCUGAGUUGUAAACUGCUUUUAUACGGGAAGAAAAAGCCCUUGCGAGGGAAAUUGCCGGUACCGUAUGAAUAAGCACCGGCUAACUCCGUGCCAGCAGCCGCGGUAAUACGGAGGGUGCAAGCGUUGUCCGGAUUUAUUGGGUUUAAAGGGUGCGUAGGCGGAUCUUUAAGUCAGUGGUGAAAUCCUGCAGCUUAACUGUAGAACUGCCAUUGAUACUGGAGGUCUUGAGUAUACUAGAGGUAGGCGGAAUUUAUGGUGUAGCGGUGAAAUGCAUAGAUACCAUAAAGAACACCAAUAGCGUAGGCAGCUUACUUGAGUAUAACUGACGCUGAGGCACGAAAGCAUGGGUAGCGAACAGGAUUAGAUACCCUGGUAGUCCAUGCCGUAAACGAUGAUUACUC